AGCUCCAAUAGCGUAUAUUAAAGUUGUUGCAGUUAAAAAGCUCGUAGUUGGACCUUUGACAAGGCCGGCUGGUCUGCCGCAAGGCAGCACUGGGUGAGCCGCGUCACGAUUUUGGGGAACUGUUCAUUCGUGGGCAGGGAACCAAGGAUUACUUUGAAGAAAUUAGAGUGUUUAAAGCAGGCGAUUGCUUGAAUACAUUAGCAUGGAAUAAUAAGAUAUGACUGCGGUCUUAUUUUGUUGGUUUGAGGGCCACAGUAAUGAUUAAUAGGGAUAGUUGGGGGCAUUUGUAUUCAGUAGUCAGAGGUGAAAUUCUUGGAUUUACUGAAGACAAACUAAUGCGAAAGCAUCUGCCAAGGAUGUUUUCA
rnacentral:rRNA from 1 species